rnacentral:rRNA from 1 species
UACGGGGGAUGCAAGCGUUUUCCGGAUUUAUUGGGUUUAAAGGGUGCGUAGGCUGUGAGGUAAGUCAGCGGUGAAAUGCCCCCGCUCAACGGGGUGAAGUGCCAUUGAUACUGCCUUGCUGGAAUGCGGAUGCCGUGGGAGGAAUGUGUGGUGUAGCGGUGAAAUGCAUAGAUAUCACACAGAACACCGAUUGCGAAGGCAUCUCACGAAUCCGCUAUUGACGCUGAUGCACGAAAGCGGGGGUAUCAAACAGG